rnacentral:rRNA from 1 species
GACGAACGCUGGCGGCGUGCUUAACACAUGCAAGUCGAACGGAAAGGCCCUGCUUUUGUGGGGUGCUCGAGUGGCGAACGGGUGAGUAACACGUGAGUAACCUGCCCUUGACUUUGGGAUAACUUCAGGAAACUGGGGCUAAUACCGGAUAGGAGCUCCUGCUGCAUGGUGGGGGUUGGAAAGUUUCGGCGGUUGGGGAUGGACUCGCGGCUUAUCAGCUUGUUGGUGGGGUAGUGGCUUACCAAGGCUUUGACGGGUAGCCGGCCUGAGAGGGUGACCGGCCACAUUGGGACUGAGAUACGGCCCAGACUCCUACGGGAGGCAGCAGUGGGGAAUAUUGCACAAUGGGCGGAAGCCUGAUGCAGCAACGCCGCGUGCGGGAUGACGGCCUUCGGGUUGUAAACCGCUUUCGCCUGUGACGAAGCGUGAGUGACGGUAAUGGGUAAAGAAGCACCGGCUAACUACGUGCCAGCAGCCGCGGUGAUACGUAGGGUGCGAGCGUUGUCCGGAUUUAUUGGGCGUAAAGGGCUCGUAGGUGGUUGAUCGCGUCGGAAGUGUAAUCUUGGGGCUUAACCCUGAGCGUGCUUUCGAUACGGGUUGACUUGAGGAAGGUAGGGGAGAAUGGAAUUCCUGGUGGAGCGGUGGAAUGCGCAGAUAUCAGGAGGAACACCAGUGGCGAAGGCGGUUCUCUGGGCCUUUCCUGACGCUGAGGAGCGAAAGCGUGGGGAGCGAACAGGCUUAGAUACCCUGGUAGUCCACGCUGUAAACGGUGGGUACUAGGUGUGGGGUCCAUUCCACGGGUUCCGUGCCGUAGCUAACGCUUUAAGUACCCCGCCUGGGGAGUACGGCCGCAAGGCUAAAACUCAAAGGAAUUGACGGGGCCCCGCACAAGCGGCGGAGCAUGCGGAUUAAUUCGAUGCAACGCGUAGAACCUUACCUGGGUUUGACAUGGAUCGGGAGCGCUCAGAGAUGGGUGUGCCUCUUUUGGGGUCGGUUCACAGGUGGUGCAUGGCUGUCGUCAGCUCGUGUCGUGAGAUGUUGGGUUAAGUCCCGCAACGAGCGCAACCCCUGUUCACUGUUGCCAGCACGUUAUGGUGGGGACUCAGUGGAGACCGCCGGGGUCAACUCGGAGGAAGGUGGGGAUGACGUCAAGUCAUCAUGCCCCUUAUGUCCAGGGCUUCACGCAUGCUACAAUGGCUGGUACAGAGAGUGGCGAGCCUGUGAGGGUGAGCGAAUCUCGGAAAGCCGGUCUCAGUUCGGAUUGGGGUCUGCAACUCGACCUCAUGAAGUCGGAGUCGCUAGUAAUCGCAGAUCAGCAACGCUGCGGUGAAUACGUUCCCGGG